rnacentral:rRNA from 1 species
GACGAACGCUGGCGGCGUGCCUAAUACAUGCAAGUCGAGCGCAGGAAACUGACGGAACUCUUCGGAGGGAAGGCAGUGGAAUGAGCGGCGGACGGGUAAGUAACACGUAAGGAACCUGCCUCAAGGAUUGGGAUAACUCCGAGAAAUCGGAGCGAAUACCGGAUAGUUCAUCGGACCGCAUGGUCCGUUGAGGAAAGGCGCUCCGGCGUCACCUUGCGAUGGCCUUGCGGUGCAUUAGCUAGUUGGUGGGGUAACGGCCCACCAAGGCGACGAUGCAUAGCCGACCUGAGAGGGUGAUCGGCCACACUGGGACUGAGACACUGCCCCGACUCCUACGGGAGGCUGCAGUCGAGGAUCUUUAGCAAUGGGCGAAAGCCUGACUAUGCGACGCCGCGUGAGGGAUGAAGGUUUUCGGAUCGUAAACCUCUUUCGAUGGGAAAGAAACCCCGCUAUGAAUAAUGGCGGGCUGACGGUACCCAGAGAAGAAGCCACGGCCAACUCCGUGCCAGCAGCCGCGGUAA